rnacentral:ncRNA from 1 species
ACUGUCCUAUCUACUAUCUGGCGAAACCACAGCCAAGGGAACGGGCUUGGAAUAAUUAGCGGGGAAAGAAGACCCUUUUGAGCUUGACUCUAAUCUGGCAGUGUAAGGAGACAUAAGAGGUGUAGAAUAAGUGGGAGAUAUUAUUCCUUGUGUUUGAUAUCGCCAAUGAAAUACCACUACUCUUAUUGUUUCCUUACUUACUUGAUUAAAUGGAACGUGUAUCAUUUCCUAGCCAUUAUACGGAUAUAUUUAUUAUAUCUUAUGGUAUUGGGUUUUGAUGCAAACUUCUUGAUUAAAGUAUCACGAGUUUGUUAUAUAAUUGCAAACAAUUUCUUUAAUGAGAGAGUGCAUUUAUGUAUUUUUAAUUUGAAAUAUUUGGUAUAACUCCAAUUACUCAGGUAUGAUCCAAUUCAAGGACAUUGCCAGGUAGGGAGUUUGACUGGGGCGGUACAUCUCUCAAAUAAUAACGGAGGUGUCCCAAGGCCACCUUAGUGCGGACAGAAACCACACAUGGAGCAAAAGGGCAAAUGCUGAUCUGAACUCGGUGUUCAGUACACACAGGGUGAGACAGGUUAGUUUUACCCUACUAAUGACAAAACGUUGUUGCGACAGCAUUCCUGCGUAGUACGAGAGGAACCGCAGGUACGGACCAAUGGCACAUUACUUGUUCGAACGAACAGUGGUAUGACGCUACGUCCGUUGGAUUAUGCCUGAACGCCUCUAAGGUCGUAUCCGUGCUGGACUGCAAUGAUAAAUAAGGGGC